CUCCAGAGGAGAGGCCCACAACGCGGGGCGGGGGUCGUAUUCUCGGGACAACGUAGGCGACGCUUUACGGCAGGGGUGAGCGGGGUCGCAGUCGAGUCUCGCUGGCUCCCGCGCGAAACUCUGAGGGGACCGACUCUUUCUCGCCGGAGCGUGGCCUCAGCCACGUUGGUCCCCUCAGCCUCCUUCGUGUCCUUUCCCUGGGGCAACGCGAGGCGACGCGGGCCGGGACCGGCAGCCUUUCUGGUCCCAGGGACCCUCCCCAUCCUCUAACGUCUGAGCAGCCUGUACCCUGCGUGCAAGGUCGCAGUUUGCAGAAAUAAUAAAAGCGCAUCAUCAACAGCUCAUGCAUUGCCUUCAUGUGGGCCCAGAGUACAAGCACAGAUGAAGAGCAGACACUGACUUCACACUUCUGACAGGUCACAGUUUGCUAAAAUAAUAAAAGGGCAUGAUCAAUAGCUCGUACAUUGCCUUGGUGUAGACCCAGAGUGCUAGCACAGAGGAAGAGCAGACACUGACUUCACACUUCUGAUAGGAACCAGUUUGGUAAUAAAAUCAAGGCAUGUGAUCAACAGCUUGUACAUUAUCUUGGUGUGGACCCAGAGAGCAAGCACAGACGAAGAGCAGACACUGACCUCACACUUCUGAUAGGUCUUCCUCAGUAGGAUCCACAGAAAGGGACCGACGCCAUGCUCCAAAAGCUUCCACUUGAUGGCACUCUUGAGCCAGAAAUGUCAACCACUUUCUGGAGCUGGGCCUCUCCCUCCACCCUUUGUGUAUCAAAAAAGGCCCAUGGUGGCCAAAGAACCUUCCAAACCCUCCAAACUAUGUUAGCUCCAGUGGAGUGUUGGGGGAAGAGUUCACAGUUUGGUAAGAAAGUCAGAGGUCAUGAUCAACCGCUCAUACAUUGCCUUGGUGUGGACCCAGAGUGCAAGAACAGAAAAAGAACAGACACUGACUUCACACUUCUGAAAAGUAUGUAAUACAGGCCUCAGUUGUGCUUUGAUUCUGUUUCCCCCUUCCGUACAGUAGGCUCCUCUCUCAAGGCAAGUGUCUCACCAAAUUUCCUCGGGUUAUUCUCUGGUUAGUAGUGUGUUCAGGUAUUUGUUGUUUUUGUUCAGUAGGUCAGUCAUGUCUGCCUCUCUGCAACCCCACCGACUGCAGCAUGCCAGGCUUCCCUGGCCAUCAGCAACUCCUGGAGCUUGCUCAAACUCAUGUCCAUUGAGUUGGUGAUGCCAUCCUAACAUCUUAUCCUCUGUGGUCCCAUCUUCUGCCUGCUUUCAAUCUUUCAGGUAUACUUAGUUACUAUAGUUGUUCAUCGUAGUGAUGAGAAGAGUUCUGCUUGUGCGAUUCACAUAUCAACCUAUUUGUAAGUUCCAACACCCCUGAACUCAGUUUAAAACUCAAGCUCAGAAAGGCCAUUAGUUUACUGGAUCCGAUUUCACACAUCUGAUAGGUAUGCAACAGAACUCCCAUGUGUACUUUGUGUUUUACUCCUUUCCCUUUUACAAAGAUGAGUUUCCUAAGUGUUUUAAACAAAUUUAUACUGGUGCCAUGGAGAUGCGUUAUUAAUGCUAUUAGUAAGCAAAGGCUUUGACUGUGUGGAUCACAAUAAACUGGAAAAUUCUGAAAGAGAUGGGAAUACCAGACCACCUGACCUGCCUCUUGAGAAACCUGUAUGCAGGUCAGGAAGCAACAGUUAGAACUGGACAUGGAACAACAGACUGGUUCCAAAUAGGAAAAGGAGUAUGUCAAGGCUGUAUAUUGUCACCCUGCUUAUUUAACUUAUAUGCAGAGUACAUCAUGAGAAACGCUGGGCUGGAAGAAGCACAAGCUGGAAUCAAGAUUGCCAGGAGAAAUAUCAAUAACCUCAGAUAUGCAGAUGACACCACCCUUAUGGCAGAGAGUGAAGAGGAACUGAAGAGCCUCUUGAUGAAAGUGAAAGAGGAGAGUGAAAAAGUUGGCUUAAAGCUCAACAUUCAGAAAACUAAGAUCAUGGCAUCUGGUCCCAUCACUUCAUGGUAAAUAGAUGGGGAAACAGUGGCUGACUUUAUUUUUCUGGGCUCCAAAAUCCCUGCAGAUGGUGAUUGCAGCCAUGAAAUUAAAAGACGCUUACUCCUUGGAAGGAAAGUUAUGACCAGCCUAAACAGCAUAUUAAAAAGCAAAGACAUUACUUUGUCAACAAAGGUCUGUCUAGUCAAGGCUAUGGUUUUUCCAGUGGUCAUGUCUGGAUGUGAGAGUUGGGCUAUAAAGAAAGCUGAGCGCCGAAGAAUUGAUGCUUUUGAACUGUGGUGUUGGAGAAGACUCUUGAGAGUCCCUUAGACUGCAAGGAGAUCCAACCAGUCCAUCCUAAAGGAGAUCAGUCCUGGGUGUUCAUUGGAAGGACUGAUGUUGAAGCUGAAACUCCAAUACUUUGGCCACCUGAUGCGAAGAGCUGGCUCAUUUGAAAAGACCCUGAUGCUGGGAAAGCUUGAAGGCAGGAGGAGAAGGGGACGACAGAGGAUAAGAUGGUUGGAUAGCAUCACCGACUCAAUGGACGUGGGUUUGGGUGGACUCUGGGAGUGUGUGAUGGACAGGGAGGCCUGGCGUGCUGUGGUUCAUGGGGUCGCAAAAAGUCGGACACAACAGCGACUGAACUGAACUGAACUGAGUGAGCAAAGGCAGGGUUACUUCAGUAACCUGAAACCUUUUAAAUCUAUCAAAAUAACCUGAUAUUUUUACAAACCCUAGAGCUAGGAAGGAUUUUGAGGUGAUCUUGUUUAUCCCCUGGGUUGCUGAAGGAAAAACCUUCUUUCUUUCUAUGCUGGAAUCUCUGAAGAACGAUAUGAAACUUCACAUGUGAAAUGUACUUUGUUAUAUAGCCCCUUCUAGUUAAGAAACUUUGUUUAUACCUUAUUUUUUUAUUUAUACCUUAUUGAAAUCUCUGUUGAGAAGGUUCCAGCAAAAACUCAUUUGUUGUUUCUUUAUAGGAAGAAAACUAGUUCUGUCAAAUGCCUGUUCUAUAUUAUUAUUCUGGUUAUAACAUGGGGUAGGCUCAGUAAUAUGAAAGAGGAAUAGGUUAUAAUUUGUAAUUGUAAUAUUAGGUUAUUGCAAAAAUGCACUUUUGCAUUGUUGAACUUUGCCCUAUAUAUUGGCAUACAUUGUUUAAUAAAUGUGGUUAUAUUAUACAUCAUUUUAAUGUACAUUUCUUGCCUUUUUGUGCUAAUGACUUAUGUUUAUUUAUAUUUAUGUCUUUAUUUUAUAUUUAUUUAUUUUAGACUAGGAAAAUGUUAGACAAAAAGGAGAAUUCAAGCAAUUUUCUUAUUUAGGUUCAAAAUGGACUUCUCAUGUUCAAAUAUGCUCUGAGAAAGAAUAUUUAGCCAAGAAUGCUUUUUAUUUCACAGACUCUAAAGACAAAUAUAGUUAGCAAUGUAUAUCACUUUUAGAAAUAAAUGAUGCAUAUAUACAUAGUUUUUUAAAAUGUCUGAUUCGAGGUGACAUUUGCAAGAAAGGGCAAAUAAGAUGGAAGUGUUAUCUAUACAUAGCUAGACUUAAGCUUUGUUCGGUAUAAGUAUUCUGGCUUGUCUGAACCUCUUUAGAGGAGUGAUUAGGUAAAACUGGGACAGGAUUCACCAGAUCAAUGUCCCUUUUAAAAGAGGAAAAAAAUUCUGGGUUCUAUACCCAGAACCCUAUAAAUUUGACUAGCCAAAGACAGAUUAUGAAGAGAAAAACAAAUAGAAGUUUAUUAACAUAGGUACUGCCCAAGUAAAUAUGGGAGUGUUCAUCAGUAACCCCUAAUCCCACUUCUGGUUAUAUAUCUGAAAGAAAAGAAACCAUUAUCUUGAAGCGAUACCUGCACUUCUAUGUUCAUUGCAGCAUUAUUUACAAUAGCCAAAACACAGAAACAACGUAGGUGUCUAAUGAGGGAAGAAUGGAUAAAGAAAAUGUGAUAUAGGGACUUCCCCAACAGUCCAGUGUUUAGGACUCUGCAUUUUCACUGCCAAGGGCCCAGGUUCAAUCCUUGGUCAGAGAACUAAGAUCCCACAAGUUGUGUGGUGCCCCCCUCCAACAAAAUAGCAAAGAAAAUGUGAUACACACACACACACA